rnacentral:rRNA from 1 species
GCGGACGGGUGAGUAAUGCUUGGGAAUCUGGCUUAUGGAGGGGGAUAACUACGGGAAACUGUAGCUAAUACCGCGUAGAAUCGAGAGAUGAAAGUGUGGGACCGCAAGGCCACAUGCCAUAAGAUGAGCCCAAGUGGGAUUAGGUAGUUGGUGGGGUAAAGGCCUACCAAGCCGACGAUCUCUAGCUGGUCUGAGAGGAUGACCAGCCACACUGGAACUGAGACACGGUCCAGACUCCUACGGGAGGCAGCAGUGGGGAAUAUUGCGCAAUGGGGGGAACCCUGACGCAGCCAUGCCGCGUGAAUGAAGAAGGCCUUCGGGUUGUAAAGUUCUUUCGGUGAUGAGGAAGGGUGGUGUUUUAAUAGAGCACUACAUUGACGUUAGUCACAGAAGAAGCACCGGCUAACUCCGUGCCAGCAGCCGCGGUAAUACGGAGGGUGCGAGCGUUAAUCGGAAUAACUGGGCGUAAAGGGCACGCAGGCGGUGACUUAAGUGAGAUGUGAAAUCCCCGAGCUUAACUUGGGAACUGCAUUUCAGACUGGGUUGCUAGAGUAUUUUAGGGAGGGGUAGAAUUCCACGUGUAGCGGUGAAAUGCGUAGAGAUGUGGAGGAAUACCGAAAGCGAAGGCAGCCCCUUGGGAAUAUACUGACGCUCAUGUGCGAAAGCGUGGGGAGCAA